AUUGAACGCUGGCGGCAUGCCUUACACAUGCAAGUCGAACGGCAGCGCGGGCUUCGGCCUGGCGGCGAGUGGCGGACGGGUGAGUAAUGCAUCGGAACGUGCCCAGGAGUGGGGGAUAACGUAGCGAAAGUUACGCUAAUACCGCAUACGUACUGAGGUAGAAAGCGGGGGAUCGAAAGACCUCGCGCUCAUGGAGCGGCCGAUGUCGGAUUAGCUAGUUGGUGAGGUAAAAGCUCACCAAGGCGACGAUCCGUAGCUGGUCUGAGAGGACGACCAGCCACACUGGGACUGAGACACGGCCCAGACUCCUACGGGAGGCAGCAGUGGGGAAUCUUGGACAAUGGGGGAAACCCUGAUCCAGCAAUGCCGCGUGUGGGAUGAAGGCCCUCGGGUUGUAAACCACUUUUGGCAGGAAAGAAAUCGCCUGUGCUAAUACCAUGGGCGGAUGACGGUACCUGCAGAAUAAGCACCGGCUAACUACGUGCCAGCCGCCGCGGUAA
rnacentral:rRNA from 1 species